rnacentral:lncRNA from 1 species
UUUGAGAGUCCUCCCUUUAAGGACAGGAGCCUCUUGCCCUCCCCUGGCGUGUGGAACGGGACCGGAUCAUUCAGUCAGGUUUAGAGGGCAGAAGUGAUGGCCGUGCUCUGGGAAGGUGGAGCUUACUCAGCCCUGCAGCUUCCUUGUCUUCAGAGUGUGUUAGCCGACAGGAAGAGGCUUCGUGGUGAGCAGCAGAGGCCUGCAGACAAUAACCACAGGAGUGAGCCAUCUUGGAAGCAGAUCCCCAGCCUCCACCAACACCUCAGUUGCUUGACAACAUCCUGACCACAGACAGCCACAGAAGAGAGCCGGAACCACACACGUUCAGCAGAAGCUGCUGCGCUUGAAUCCUUGAAUCCUGACCCACUCAAGGCCACAGAAGUCUCUCUCAUGAUCCCACAGAGGUAAAAGGAGAGUCUGCUUCCAAGCCUGCUCCAGACAUUGCCGGCAAACAGAAGGAAGGAGUUAGGCCAAUUAUUAACAAGGCGACCUCAAAGCACUCCUGCCCAUAUCCCACCAUCUAAGGACAGUCACAUGGCCAGAGUCAGCUGAGCAACUUGGGUGGCAGUAAAACUGCACCUCGAGCAGAAAUGCCAGGACACCUUUUUCCUGUCAGGAGGAAGAGGAAAAUGGAAAUUUCGGAGCAUUAAGGGUCUCAACUGUCACCUAAGAAGUAGAAGAGCCACCCUGGCUUCCCUCUGGCCAGGCUGGUUGCAGACCCCUUAAUCAUCUCAGUGUCUCUACUCUCAGAAGCUUUCUUUCCCUGGUGACUCUGUGACUUUCUUCCAGCUGUUCCUACUGAGACUCCAGGUUCUCUUUAGACCUAAGGACAAUGCUCCCAACCCCUACCUAGCCCCCAACCCCAAACUGUUACAGCUAUUUUGGAUCCCCCAGGAACUAAACUAUCCUUGGUUUUCCUGUGUCCCUCCCUCAUCUUUGGAAAUCACUUCUUGAAUACUCAGUUUGCAUGUGCACUGUGUUGCCUGCCUAGACAACUUUCAUUUGUACUCACACAUAGGUGCAUUCAUUCAUUCAUGAUAUAGGGACAUGGCCCAAGAGGCUUCCGUACUCAGGAGAAUGCAAUAUCUCUGCUAGGGUCUGAAUGACAGGGUUCCCUCUAAACUAACAACAGAAAAGGAUUAGGAGAUAUGGACUCCCAAUGGCAUGGGCCUAGGAGAGCUGGCUCUGUCACUCACCUGAGGAAGGGAGCAUCCCAGUGGCCCAGAAAAACCCAGCUCAGCUACCACCCAGACCCACAUCCUGGGCCUUAGGUUGGCCCACCCCAACAUCUACCCCACUUAUGACCUGCUGGAGUAUGUGAAGGGACUUGUCCUGUGGAAUGAUAGCCACAGGAUCUCCAUGACCCAGGGCAACAGCAGGAUAUCCAAGAGUUUUGGUGAGAGUCCAGUGAUGCCAGAGAACUUGAACCAGACCAACUCAUUGCAAUGAACAUUUUGUGGGUGGGGCUGAUUGAACAAAAGGGUAAUUUAUGACACAUUACGGCACCCAAUACCACUAGGAUGAAUGAAGAGGUACU